AUGGACAACAUCGUGGUUGUUCUCAUUCUGUUCAGCAUCGCACAAGGAUCCUUUUCCAGUCUGCAGGUGACCCAGUCUGGCCCAGCGAUGAUGAAGCCGGGAGGGUCCUUCAAAGUGACCUGCAUCGUCUCCGGGGGCCAAGUCAAUGAUUAUUACUGGAAUUGGAACCGGCAGCUUCCCGGGAAAGUCCUGGAAUGGCUGGGAUUCAUUCGGAGCACUGAUCGAGGAGGAACCACGCAGUACAGCCCAACAUUCAGCAGCCGAAUCAGCAUCACAAGGGACAACUCCAGGAACGAGGUCUAUCUUCAGCUGACCUCCCUGACGGCUGCAGACACUGCAGUGUAUUAUUGUGCAGGAGGCACAGAGAGGUGA